UACGGAGGAUGCAAGCGUUAUCCGGAAUGAUUGGGCGUAAAGCGUCCGCAGGUGGCUGUGUAAGUCUGCUGUUAAAGAGUGAGGCUCAACCUCAUAAAGGCAGUGGAAACUACAUGGCUAGAGUGCGUUCGGGGCAGAGGGAAUUCCUGGUGUAGCGGUGAAAUGCGUAGAGAUCAGGAAGAACACCGGUGGCGAAAGCGCUCUGCUAGGCCGCAACUGACACUGAGGGACGAAAGCUAGGGGAGCAAACGGG
rnacentral:rRNA from 1 species